rnacentral:rRNA from 1 species
UGGGGGAUAUUGCACAAUGGGCGAAAGCCUGAUGCAGCGACGCCGCGUGGGGGAUGAAGGCUUUCGGGUUGUAAACCUCUUUCGCUAUCGAACAAGGCCCGCUUGGGGUGGGUUGAGGGUAGGUGGAGAAGAAGCGCCGGCUAACUACGUGCCAGCAGCCGCGGUAAUACGUAGGGCGCGAGCGUUGUCCGGAAUUAUUGGGCGUAAAGGGCUUGUAGGCGGCUUGUUGCGCCUGCUGUGAAAACACGGGGCUUAACUUCGCGCGUGCAGUGGGUACGGGCAGGCUUGAGUGUGGUAGGGGGGACUGGAAUUCCAGGGGUAGCGGUGGAAUGCGCAGAUAUCUGGAGGAACACCGAUGGCGAAGGCAGGUCACUGGGCCAUUACUGACGCUGAGGAGCGAAAGCAUGGGUAGCGAACAGG